rnacentral:rRNA from 1 species
UACGUAGGGCGCAAGCGUUGUCCGGAAUUAUUGGGCGUAAAGGGCUCGUAGGCGGCCAACUAAGUCAGACGUGAAAUCCCUCGGCUUAACCGGGGAACUGCGUCUGAUACUGGAUGGCUUGAGUUCGGGAGAGGGAUGCGGAAUUCCAGGUGUAGCGGUGAAAUGCGUAGAUAUCUGGAGGAACACCGGUGGCGAAGGCGGCAUCCUGGACCGAUACUGACGCUGAGGAGCGAAAGCCAGGGGAGCAAACGGG